AAUAAGUAGCCGGCAUGAUUGUGGCCAUUUGAAUUAGAAAGUCUCUCGCUAUUAAGCACAUAAAGUGCAAACAGUAAUACAAUAUUGUCACAUACUCCUUUUCAAUAUGAACAGCAGAAUUUUAGGUUGAGAAUGAGAAUAUUGGAGGCUAAUUAGAAUGGCCACAAUCAUGCCGGCUACUUAUUCCACAAUAACAAGGGAAAACCUACAGCUUUCUACCUUAUUAAGUUAGGUAGUUGAACUUACUUUCAUCAAAAUGAAAAUCACUGUCAAGUUCAAUGGAAUUCACCGCAAAAUCCAUGUCCAAACUUUGAGAAGUAGCCUCUGUAGAAGCUACAAGAUCACCAGGCUCAGCUGAUUCAAAUGCUACAAGAUCCUUCCAUAUGAUAGAGUCCAAAGAUGAAAGAUUAUCUGUUAGAU
rnacentral:misc_RNA from 1 species